UACGAAGGGGGUUAGCGUUGCUCGGAAUUACUGGGCGUAAAGGGAGCGUAGGCGGACAUUUAAGUCAGGGGUGAAAUCCCGGGGCUCAACCUCGGAAUUGCCUUUGAUACUGGGUGUCUUGAGUAUGAGAGAGGUAUGUGGAACUCCGAGUGUAGAGGUGAAAUUCGUAGAUAUUCGGAAGAACACCAGUGGCGAAGGCGACAUACUGGCUCAUUACUGACGCUGAGGCUCGAAAGCGUGGGGAGCAAACAGG
rnacentral:rRNA from 1 species